rnacentral:rRNA from 1 species
CGGCCGCAGUACCUUGACUGUGCAAAGGUAGCAUAAUAAUUUGUCCUCUAAUUAAGGUCUGGAAUGAAGGGGGACACAGGGGAGAGCUGUCUCCAAUAAGGUUAAUUUAACUUUCUUAUCAGGUGAAAAUUCCUGAGCCUCCGAUGAAAGACGAGAAGACCCUUAGAGUUUUUAUUAUAACUUGAUAUGUUAAGAUUCUUGUUCUGUUUUUGUUGGGGCGACAGGGUUACAAUAGAUAACUUACCCUACCAUAUUUUUAUAUGGCGAUCAUUAUACUUUUAAUUAAGCUACCUAAGGGAUAACAGCGUAAUCUUUUUUUUUUGGUUUGCGACCCCGAUGUUGGACUAGGGGCCUACUGGUUAGUUACCAUUAUGGGGCGGUUCUGUUCGAACUUUUCCUACCCUACGUGAUCUGAGUUCAGACC